rnacentral:rRNA from 1 species
ACUCCUACGGGAGGCAGCAGUGGGGGAAUAUUGCACAAUGGGCGCAAGCCUGAUGCAGCCAUGCCGCGUGUAUGAAGAAGGCCUUCGGGUUGUAAAGUACUUUCAGCANUGAGGAAGGGUGGAGUCGUUAAUAGCGGCCUCAUUUGACGUUAGCAUGCAGAAGAAGCACCGGCUAACUCCGUGCCAGCAGCCGGCGGUAAUACGGAGGGGUGCGAGCGUUAAUCGGAAUUACUGGGCGUAAAGCGCAUGCAGGUGG